CGCAAUACCCAGGUGCUCUUCCGAAAUGGUUAUUUGGUUGUUUGUUUUUCUUUCUGCCAGUAGGGGGAUCUGGAGUAGAAACUUAUCUUGGAUCCUUCUGACAAGUCCUGAGGCGUGGGAGGAACAGAGCCUUGUCUUAGCUAGUGUAGGAGUUACUUCAAUCUUAUCCAUCACCUCGUCCUUCUGUAGGCUUUCCCCCUGGAUCCCUCCACACCCAAGUUGCUUCCUCUUUUACUUUCAAGGGAAUACAUGAUAGGAUAUGCAUUCGCAAUAGAGAAUGCGGUGCUAUCAAACCUCCUUGAUCCUUGGCCAUAUUUUCUGAUGUCUUCCUAGAAGCCACAAGGUUGCCAACGUAUAACUACAGCGAGACUCCGAAUGUAUGUCCCUAGUUCGUCUGUAUGAAUGUCUCCCAAGUUGGUUGCCUGUUCUCCACUGAACCAGGACUCUUCUUCCGGCCCAUGUGAUGACAUCUAUACACUGGCCUUGGUCCUGGAAGACGUGCCUGUCUAUUGGCUGGGAAAGCCUAGAAGCAAGGAUUUCUAACGGCAAGACAGUAUUCAGGAAUGCUUGUUACAGCCAGCACAAUCUGGAUGUCAAAGGAGAUACGCUUAACUUUCCCAGAAGCAACUGCAGCCAAGUUCUGUGUUGUCUUGGAACAACCUUCAGGAAGGCAACAUCUUGAGACAAGAGGGAGCUUGAGCUAGGGCUUUUAUUGAAACAAUAUCUUCUCCAGUGGUUUAGUCCAGGACAUUAUGAGUCCUCUUAAUAAACUAAUAAAAUCCA